rnacentral:rRNA from 1 species
GAUGAACGCUGGCGGCGUGCCUAAUACAUGCAAGUCGAGCGAACAGAUGAGGAGCUUGCUCCUCUGACGUUAGCGGCGGACGGGUGAGUAACACGUGGAUAACCUACCUAUAAGACUGGGAUAACUUCGGGAAACCGGAGCUAAUACCGGAUAAUAUAUUGAACCGCAUGGUUCAAUAGUGAAAGACGGUUUUGCUGUCACUUAUAGAUGGAUCCGCGCCGCAUUAGCUAGUUGGUAAGGUAACGGCUUACCAAGGCAACGAUGCGUAGCCGACCUGAGAGGGUGAUCGGCCACACUGGAACUGAGACACGGUCCAGACUCCUACGGGAGGCAGCAGUAGGGAAUCUUCCGCAAUGGGCGAAAGCCUGACGGAGCAACGCCGCGUGAGUGAUGAAGGUCUUCGGAUCGUAAAACUCUGUUAUUAGGGAAGAACAAAUAUGUAAGUAACUAUGCACGUCUUGACGGUACCUAAUCAGAAAGCCACGGCUAACUACGUG